UUUUUUUCUCUCUUAAACAACUUUGUUGUUUUCAAUGUUAUGUCGCAAGCCUUUAUUGAAUACUAAUAAAUCACGUGUAGUAUUGUUGAUGAAUUUACUCUAUGAUGAUUAAUCUAUUUUGCAAUGUGCAGAGGCUGCUCUAGGUAGUAGAGAAAAGGAUUCAAUCGAAGCUAUUUAUAAGCAUGCUGAACUUGCAUAAGCCUUUACUUCUCUACAAGUGUGAUUGGGAAAUCGGUCCUUAUGAGCUCCACUUUUUAAAUCAUUCGCGAAUUGGAAAGGAAAGGAAGAUCAAAAGAAAUGCAACUUGUAAAAGGGAUGCUUCGUAAGUUAUCCAGACAUGUAGUAAUCAACACUAUGCAAACGUCGUCGUCAUGAGAGAAUUUAUGUUUGCCACAAUUUUGUCUUACAAAUUAUGUUUGGUUUUGAUAGUUUUAUGGUGUAGACUUUACUUUCGAUUUGUUAGACAUAUACUUGGUUUUUUUUUCUUAGUGUUGUUGUAUGACAUAAUGGUUGUCACUUUUAAGAUUCUCAAAAUUCAGUUUCACACUACGUUUAAUUUGUUUGUGGGUUGAGA